GAUCAUGGCUCAGGAUGAACGCUGGCGGCGUGCCUAACACAUGCAAGUCGAACGAAGCGAUUUAACGGAAGUUUUCGGAUGGAAGUUGAAUUGACUGAGUGGCGGACGGGUGAGUAACGCGUGGGUAACCUGCCUUGUACUGGGGGACAACAGUUAGAAAUGACUGCUAAUACCGCAUAAGCGCACAGUAUCGCAUGAUACAGUGUGAAAAAACUCCGGUGGUACAAGAUGGACCCGCGU
rnacentral:rRNA from 1 species